UGGGGAAUAUUGCACAAUGGGCGCAAGCCUGAUGCAGCAACGCCGCGUGAGGGACGACGGCCUUCGGGUUGUAAACCUCUUUUAGUAGGGAAGAAGCGAAAGUGACGGUACCUGCAGAAAAAGCACCGGCUAACUACGUGCCAGCAGCCGCGGUAAUACGUAGGGUGCGAGCGUUGUCCGGAAUUAUUGGGCGUAAAGAGCUCGUAGGCGGUCUGUCGCGUCUGCUGUGAAAACCCGAGGCUCAACCUCGGGCCUGCAGUGGGUACGGGCAGACUAGAGUGCGGUAGGGGAGAAUGGAAUUCCUGGUGUAGCGGUGGAAUGCGCAGAUAUCAGGAGGAACACCGAUGGCGAAGGCAGUUCUCUGGGCCGUAACUGACGCUGAGGAGCGAAAGCGUGGGGAGCGAACAGGAUUAGAUACCCUGGUAGUCCACGCCGUAAACGUUGGGCGCUAGAUGUGGGGACCAUUCCACGGUUUCCGUGUCGCAGCUAACGCAUUAAGCGCCCGCCUGGGGAGUACGGCCGCAAGGCUAAAACU
rnacentral:rRNA from 1 species